AUUGAACGCUGGCGGCAGGCAUAACACAUGCAAGUCGAGCGAGCGGCGGACGGGUGAGUAAUGUCUGGGAAACUGCCCGAUGGAGGGGGAUAACUACUGGAAACGGUAGCUAAUACCGCAUACUAUCAGAUAAGCCCAUAUGGGAUUAGCGAGUAGGUGGGGUAAAGGCUCACCUAGGCGACGAUCUCUAGCUGUGCUGAGAGGAGGAGCAGCCACACUGAGACUGAGACACGGUCCAGACUCCUACGGGAGGCAGCAGUGGGGAAUAUUGCACAAUGGGCGCAAGCCUGAUGCAGCCAGGCUGCGUGUAUGAAGAAGGCCUUCGGGUUGUAAAGUACUUUCAGCGGGGAGGCGUUACUCGCAGAAGAAGCACCGGCUAACUCCGUGCCAGCAGCCGCGGUAAUAC
rnacentral:rRNA from 1 species